AAAUUCUACACAGGGGUUGCAUGGCUGUCGUCAGCCCGUGGCGCCGAGCCGUAAUGGAAGUAUUUCCAUAUCACGGGCGUUUCCCUUACCUAAACAAAACCAAGUGUUUUUUAGGACUGUUCAACUUUCUCUUAAUGGUUGAAAGGAAGAUAGGACCACGUCAAGUCCUCAUGGCCCAGAUGAGAUGGGCUACACGUGUGUUACAAAAGUUGUUACAAUAAGAUGCGAAGGAUUCUUCUUAAAAGAAGAACAAAACCUGAGCAAUGCUUUGAAAAAUAACUGUAGUUCAGAUGGUUCUCUGCAACUCGGGAACCUGAAGAUGGAAUUACCAGUAAUCGCGGAUCAGCACGCCGCGGUGAAACAAAGUAGCUUACCCGGGGCACUCACCGCCCGUCACGUUCUGAAAGCUUGGUGGGCUGGAAACUAUGGAAUGCAUUUUUUGAAUAGAAACUUUUUUUAAUCCUGGUUAAAACCGUAGUAUGAUUAUGGAAUCUAUUCUUAGUCUGUGAUUUGUAACUAAAGUCUGUCUGGCGAUUGGAAUAAAGUCGUAACAAGGUUGCUGUACGGGAACGUGUAGCAGGAACGAUAUUUU
rnacentral:rRNA from 1 species